GUGCUAGCUUCGGCAGCAAAUAUACUAAAAUUGAAAUGAUACGGAGAAGAUUAGCAUGGCCCCUUCGCAAGGAUGACACACAAAUUCGUGAAGCAUUCCUUAUUUUU
rnacentral:snRNA from 1 species